UGCGUAGGCGGAAUAUUAAGUCAGUGGUGAAAUCCUGCGGCUCAACCGUAGAACUGCCAUUGAUACUGAUAUUCUUGAAUGUAGUUGAGGUAGGCGGAAUGUGUAAUGUAGCGGUGAAAUGCUUAGAUAUUACACAGAACACCGAUUGCGAAGGCAGCUUACUAAACUAUGAUUGACGCUGAUGCACGAAAGCGUGGGGAGCGAACAGGAUUAGAUAACCUGGUAGUCC
rnacentral:rRNA from 1 species